CUGCAUACAGAUCUUACACUGCAGGGAGUCACAGACUGUGCCCUGCUGACAAGGCAGAAGAGCUCAGAACGCUAAAUGAGAUGCAUGCAUAUGUGAGACAGAGGGAGAGAGAUGAAGGAGGUGUGUGAAGAAGAGAAAAUUAAAUGAAGUGAACGAGGAUUAAGCCUCUGGGAGUUCGUUAUGGGGAUAUGUCAGCAACCGUGGGAGAUUUUAAGGAGUCAAGACACAGAGGAAGGAAGAGUCAGCAUUGCGAAAUGAGAGACUGCGUAUCGUAGAGGGGACCUCAGAUGCCACAUGGGCUGGACGGGCAUCCCGGCCAGAAGAGAGGAUGGUUCCUUACCCGUACUGGAGGUUCCUGACAGGCAGAUAGGCAUCCCGGCCAGGGUGGAGAAAGGGAUCAGACCUGGAAGGACAGCCCACUGAAAAGAGAAGAUGUCGCUGGGGAUUUUUCACUCCCCUAGCAUGCUAGAUGGCAGCGGCCCUGGAUAUCAGUGCCCAGUGGGAAACCAGCAGGGCAUGCCAGAGAUGUAGUCCAGUAGAGCAACCCUGCCAGGGUCACUGGGUGCUACAAGAGGGUGUUGCAUGGGGUCAAGCUCCCUGUUAUAAUGGACUUUCACAUGACCCGGAAGUGCUUCCAUUGUGUAAUCGCCCUGGCACUGAAAGUACUCUCAGGUUUAUAAUAAAAGGGACCACACUCCCUUUUCCAGACGAAUCGGAGCUAAAAAGAGGGCAUGGAGCAACACUUGGGUGUAGGAGGGCAGUGUGGUAGAAGUGUCAUUGAGAGAAAGGUAUUGUGGAGAGAGAAAACUUGUGUCUUUGUGCCUUUUUCACCUUUUUGGAAGAAGUGGUUUAAUAAACGUUUCAUUAGUUGAACCCGGGACUCACUGUGUGUUCG